CGCAGCUAAGUUUUGUUUUUAGCUCAGCCUCCAACCCCUUAAUCCCCAAAUCUCAUUGCUCCUUCUCCCUCCCUCCUCCCUCUCCCUCCUCCACUUCGUUAGCCUCUGCUCCUCUUCCUCAUCCUGUCAUCAUCCUCUCCUUCACCUCACCUCCCCUUCCAUUCUCUGCCGUGGAAGAGGAGUUCUAGAUGCUCCAAUGGCCUCCUCAUAGGCCUUUGCCCAAAGGCAUCCGUGACUUCUCAAUCAACGCCGACGGCCGCUUCCAGGGUGGCCUCAAUGCCCCCUGCAUGGCCACCUUCGAAAGCGAGGUCCUCUACAAUGCCAGCAUCUUUGGCACCAUCUCCUCCAUGUCCUCCCUCCUGUUCUUCGAGAUCCGCCGUUUGUUUGCUUCAGGCUCCUGCGGCGCGAGCGGGAGCACGAACAAAAGACCACUCACCAUGAAGCUCCAGAAGGUGUAUAGGAGCUACCGAACCUGCCGUAGGUUAGCGGACUCCGUCGUCGUCGCUAAAGAGCUUCGGAAUGGAAGAGGUUGAUAAAGAGAAAGUACAAAGGAUAAUUUAUGAGAAGAGCAAAGGAUCAAUAUGUUUUGAGAAUGAGAAAAGAAAAGAGACAUUCAUUAAAUAGAAAAUUGAAAGCUUGUAUGCGCAACGUGCAAAACUUACAGAGAAGGAUAUUUCACGUUUCCAAAUGGUGCUUACCUCGUGAUCCAAGUUCAAUAAGGAGAGCGAUGGCUCAACUUGCACGCGCUAGGAAGAACAUGAUUGAUGCUGAGUACUGGCACCACCUUGCAAAAGUUCUUCAUCUGACCUUCACUGAGAGUGGUUGCCAGCAAUCUAGUUAUGCCACUUGAUGAAAUUGAUAAGACGGGUUCUAAUGUCCAGGGGGAUCUAGCAUCCACAUUAUUGGAAGUUCUUGAUCCAGAACAAAAUAAAACUUUCAAUGAUCAUUAUUUGAAUGUUCCUUUUGAUCUAUCAAAGGUAAUUUUUGUUGCAACUGCAAAUAGAAUUCAACCUAUUCCUCCUCCACUCUUAGAUCAAAUGGAAGUCAUUGAGCUUCUUGGCUAUACACUUGAAGAAAAACGAAAGAUAGCUCUCAAGCAUCUUAUACCACGAGUCUUAGAGAAGCAUGGCAUAAGUUCUCAGUUCCUUCAAAUUCCUGAGAUUUGACGUCUCAAAUCACUAAAGAGACAAAAAGAAGUGGUAUGAGUACCCAAUAUUGAAAUAGUUGUGACAUCUCCCAAAUGUUAGAUGGAAGUACAGAGCUUUUAUUUUGAUUCACAAAUUGAUGCGGCUAAUUGUUAGAAGGAACAAAUGGUGCCUUGGGGAUAGUUCAUUGAAGCUAAAGCAUCUUGUAUUUUGAUUCACAAAUUGAUGCGGCUAAUUGUUAGAAGGAACAAAUGGUGCCUUGGGGAUAGUUCAUUGAAGCUAAAGCAUCUUGAUUGACUCGAUUUGCUUUGCAGGAUUCAGUCCCUUGGGGCAUGUAUGGGCACAGUUCAUGAUGGUGUGGGAACGGUACAACUUGAACUCAUCAUUCAUGGCAUCCAAGUGCGUCUUAGGUAUUUUCACUCAUGUAUUGGAUAUGCAUACAAGACUACAUAUCUGAUGUGUUAUAAUCUAUACGUGUUUUGGUUAUAAUGAACUUUUGGUGUAGUGAUUGAGCAUCAAUCUGAUGUGUAGUGCUACAAGUAUUGUAUAUAUGUUUGUAAUUAAGGAGUGAUCAUUUAAAAUGGGAUGAUAUAAGUUUGUAUUUUAUA